rnacentral:rRNA from 1 species
UACGCAGGGUGCAAGCGUUACUCGGAAUUACUGGGCGUAAAGCGUGCGUAGGUGGUUUGUUAAGUCUGAUGUGAAAGCCCUGGGCUCAACCUGGGAACGGCAUUGGAAACUGGCUUACUAGAGUGCGGUAGAGGGGUGUGGAAUUCCCGGUGUAGCAGUGAAAUGCGUAGAUAUCGGGAGGAACAUCUGUGGCGAAGGCGACACCCUGGACCAGCACUGACACUGAGGAACGAAAGCCAGGGGAGCGAACGGG